ACAACCCAGGGGUUGAAUUAUUUAUCGCGGGCUUUUCUUCAGGAGAGAGCAGUGUAACGUUAGUUCCAUCAAAUUGGUGCUUGUCUUCGGCAAAAUACAGGUUAUGGAAUUAGUCACAGCAUUUUUCGGCUGUCUGGGCGGCGGUCUGAAGCUAGCAGUUCCCCCGCCGAACGCGAUCCAUCUCCGGCACGAGAUCCAACGACUUUACGGUGGAACCAGGACAACAGAGACUGGUCGAUUUCACUUGAAGUAUUUCCUGCUGUUAUCUCCAAUCAAAAGCUGUCAACACCAGAGCUGGACCACUAAGGGAAACAGAAACAUACAGACAGAGCUCACAGCUGUGGCGACAUGCAGAGGAGCGAUGGUGUUAAGAAAACUUGCUCAAUGCCAGUAUUUUGGCCAUCCAGUGUCUUCUCUGGAGAAGCUGAAGUGAUUCCGCUGCACAACAUUUCUGUGGAAGUCUCAAUACAUGUUGCUUUUUUUGCGAAUAUUCCUGAUGUCAUUCACCUCGAUGAAGUCCCCAUCCUGCUGCCCAGGCCGAACGAACCAGCGCAGCUGUCAGAUUCUUCGCAGAUUUACAGUAAGCCUCCAC